rnacentral:rRNA from 1 species
GACGAACGCUGGCGGCGUGCUUAACACAUGCAAGUCGAACGAUGAAGCCGGAGCUUGCUCUGGUGAAUUAGUGGCGAACGGGUGAGUAACACGUGAGUAACCUGCCCUUGACUCUGGGAUAACUGCGGGAAACUGUAGCUAAUACCGGAUACGACCCUCGGAGGCAUCUCCUGGGGGUGGAAAGAAUUUCGGUCAAGGAUGGACUCGCGGCCUAUCAGCGAGUUGUUGAGGUAAAGGCUCACCAAGGCGACGACGGGUAGCCGGCCUGAGAGGGUGACCGGCCACACUGGGACUGAGACACGGCCCAGCCUCCUACGGGAGGCAGCAGUGGGGAAUAUUGCACAAUGGGCUCAAGCCUGAUGCAGCAACGCCGCGUGAGGGAUGACGGCCUUCGGGUUGUAAACCUCUUUUAGCAGGGAAGAAGCGAAAGUGACGGUACCUGCAGAAAAAGCACCGGCUAACUACGUGCCAGCCGCCGCCGUAA